rnacentral:lncRNA from 1 species
CUAUCUCAUCUUCCAGAUCUACAAUCACUCUCUUUUAUCAUCAUAUUUCACACAUUCCAGAAGAUUCCGAUGAGGUAGACAUCCCCAAUAAGUAUAGGAAGUGCCGUAUGACACUUUAAACCGCACCGGAUCACGGCGGCGCGUGUCCUUCCACCAAUUCACCACCUCUCCGAUCAUUAACACGAUCUCGAGCUCCGGUUUUUGGUCUGGAUACCUCGCUUUGCCUCUUCCGCUGUGUGUGUGAUUUUGAACGGGUCUCUGAGGUUUCUUCUUCUUUAAGUUUCACACAUUUUCUCACACUCACGCGCUCCCACGCGCCGCCGAUGUUUACCUAACAUUUAAGGUUCGAUGCACGUCACCGGUAGCCAAAAGUGCAGUGAGGUUUCUUCUUCUUUAAGUUUCACACAUUUAUCACACUCACGCGCUUCCACGCGCCGCUGAUGUUUACCUAACAUUUUAGGUUCGAUGCCACGUCACCGGUAGCCAAAAGUGCAGUGACCGUUGAUGCUAUGAUUGAACCGAUAAUAAACUUUCGUGUGUUUCGCAUUUUAUAGGAACCUGUGAAUCGAUAAUAAUCCGUUCGUUCACGGAGCCGUUUUUUGCGAUUACAUUUUUUUAAAAAUUUAUAAUGAUAUUUUUUUGAUUUUUUUUAAAAAAAGUUGUGCCUGUGAUGAUUCAUUUUAAAAAUGUUGGAAUUACCGACUGAUUUUUUUGUGAUGACAGAUCGACUAGCUGAGGCACUUU